rnacentral:lncRNA from 1 species
GUCACACCCGGUUUUAAGGAACAAAACCAGGCUAGCUAUAUGUGUGCCCAGAAAGUCCACACAUACAACAAUAGAAAGGAACAGUAUCAGAAACAAUGUUAUAUGGCGAAAACAUACUUAUAAUUAACACUUACAUCAGAGUAUCGCGGAACGGUAACUAAUCUUCAGGCUCAAUCUACACAGGGACGGCUGACUGGGGGUAACAUAUGCCUAGCACUUCUUGUAUCUUGAGAACACUUUCA